AUUGAACGCUGGCGGCAGGCCUAACACAUGCAAGUCGAACGAGUGGCGGACUGGUGAGUAAUGUCUGGGAAACUGCCUGAUGGAUGGGGAUCACUACUGGAAACGGUAGCUAAUACCGCAUACCAUCAGAUGUGCCCAUAUGGGCUUAGCUUGUUGGUGGGGUAACGGCUCACCAAGGCGACGAUCCCUAGCUGGUCUGAGAGGAUGACCAGCCACCCUGGACCUGGGACACGGUACAGACUCCGACGGGAGGCAGCAGUGGGGAACAUUGCACAAUGGGCGAAAGCCCGAUGCAGCCAUGCCGCGUGGAUGAAGAAGGCCUUCGGGUUGUAAAGGACUUUCAGCGGGGAGGCGUUAGCCGCAGAAGAAGCACCGGCUAACUCCGUGCCAGCAGCCGCGGUAAUAC
rnacentral:rRNA from 1 species